GGGCCGGUAGCUCAGCCUGGAAGAGCGCCCGGCUUGCACCCGGGAGGCCCCGGGUUCAAAUCCCGGCCGGUCCACCA
rnacentral:tRNA from 3 species